rnacentral:rRNA from 1 species
AGCGAACGCUGGCGGCAGGCCUAACACAUGCAAGUCGAACGAACCUUUCGGGGUUAGUGGCGGACGGGUGAGUAACACGUGGGAACGUGCCUUUAGGUUCGGAAUAACUCAGGGAAACUUGUGCUAAUACCGAAUGUGCCCUUCGGGGGAAAGAUCUAUCGCCUUUAGAGGGGCCCGCGUCUGAUUAGCUAGUUGGUUGAGGUAAUGGCUCACCAAGGCGACGAUCAGUAGCUGGUCUGAGGGGAUGAUCAGCCACAUUGGGACUGAGACACGGCCCAAACUCCUACGGGAGGCAGCAGUGGGGAAUCUUGCGCAAGGGGCGAAAGCCUGACGCAGCCAUGCCGCGUGAAUGAUGAAGGUCUUAGGAUUGUAAAAUUCUUUCACCGGGGACGAUAAUGACGGUACCCGGAGAAGAAGCCCCGGCUAACUUCGUG